UUAACAGCCCCAGGCUGAAAUGGGUGCAGCACCUUUUCCCUCCGGCUGUGGGGUGCCUGAACUCCGCUUCUUCCAUUCCCUCCUUGCCUUCUGGUGCGCAUUUGUGGGCAGUGGCUCUGCCGUGACAGUUACCCAGUCUCCAACCUUUGUGAAAGAGUCACCAGGAAAAAACGUUUCUUUCAACUGUGCUGUGAAUGAUGCAGGCUACAAGAUAUUUUGGUAUAGCCAGGCGCCUGGCAGGACAGAGCUAGAAGUCCUUGGGUCCUUCGGUUCUAGUGAAAAACUUGAAGAUAGCCCAGAGAAGUGGACAAAACGGCUGAAAGCAAAGUGGAAAGAUGGAGAAAACAAGAAAAUGGCUUUGGAUCUGACAGGUCUUCAGCCUACUGACACGGGCUUCUAUUUCUGCGCUGCAAGUUACACAGUGAAUGAGGGAGGAACUGGGACUGGUACAAAACUGAGUAUCAGAAUAAGCCUCCCCUGCUUUUCCUAA